rnacentral:rRNA from 1 species
AUUGAACGCUGGCGGCAGGCCUAACACAUGCAAGUCGAGCGGAUGAAGGGAGCUUGCUACUGGAUUCAGCGGCGGACGGGUGAGUAAUGCCUAGGAAUCUGCCUGGUAGUGGGGGAUAACGUCCGGAAACGGGCGCUAAUACCGCAUACGUCCUGAGGGAGAAAGUGGGGGAUCUUCGGACCUCACGCUAUCAGAUGAGCCUAGGUCGGAUUAGCUAGUUGGUGGGGUAAAGGCCUACCAAGGCGACGAUCCGUAACUGGUCUGAGAGGAUGAUCAGUCACACUGGAACUGAGACACGGUCCAGACUCCUACGGGAGGCAGCAGUGGGGAAUAUUGGACAAUGGACGAAAGCCUGAUCCAGCCAUGCCGCGUGUGUGAAGAAGGUCUUCGGAUUGUAAAGCACUUUAAGUUGGGAGGAAGGGCAGUAAGUUAAUACCUUGCUGUUUUGACGUUACCAACAGAAUAAGCACCGGCUAACUUCGUG